GACGAACGCUGGCGGCGUGCUUAACACAUGCAGGUCGAACGAAGAGCGAUGGAAGCUUGCUUCUCUCAAUCUUAGUGGCGAACGGGUGAGUAACGCGUAAUCAACCUGCCCUUCAGAGGGGGACAACAGUUGGAAACGACUGCUAAUACCGCAUACGAUCUAAUCUCGGCAUCGAGGAAAGAUGAAAGGUGGCCUCUAUUUAUAAGCUAUCACUGAAGGAGGGGAUUGCGUCUGAUUAGCUAGUUGGAGGGGUAACGGCCCACCAAGGCGAUGAUCAGUAGCCGGUCUGAGAGGAUGAACGGCCACAUUGGGACUGAGACACGGCCCAGACUCCUACGGGAGGCAGCAGUGGGGAAUCUUCCGCAAUGGACGAAAGUCUGACGGAGCAACGCCGCGUGAGUGAUGACGGCCUUCGGGUUGUAAAGCUCUGUUAAUCGGGACGAAAGGCCUUCUUGCGAACAGUUAGAAGGAUUGACGGUACCGGAAUAGAAAGCCACGGCUAACUACGUG
rnacentral:rRNA from 1 species